AGUUUGAUCCUGGCUCAGGACGAACGCUGGCGGCGUGCUUAACACAUGCAAGUCGAACGGAAAGGCCCCUUCGGGGGUACUCGAGUGGCGAACGGGUGAGUAACACGUGGGUAAUCUGCCCUGCACUUCGGGAUAAGCCUGGGAAACUGGGUCUAAUACCGGAUAUGACCACGAGGCGCAUGCCUUGUGGUGGAAAGCUUUUGCGGUGUGGGAUGGACCCGCGGCCUAUCAGCUUGUUGGUGGGGUGACGGCCUACCAAGGCGACGACGGGUAGCCGGCCUGAGAGGGUGUCCGGCCACGCUGGG
rnacentral:rRNA from 1 species